AGGGUAAGACAGUCAUUUGGCA
rnacentral:siRNA from 1 species